rnacentral:rRNA from 1 species
UUUUAUUUGAGAGUUUGAUCCUGGCUCAGGAUGAACGCUGGCGGCGUGCCUAACACAUGCAAGUUGAGCGAUUUACUUCGGUAAAGAGCGGCGGACGGGUGAGUAACGCGUGGGUAACCUACCCUGUACACACGGAUAACAUACCGAAAGGUAUGCUAAUACGGGAUAAUAUAUUUGAGAGGCAUCUCUUAAAUAUCAAAGGUGAGCCAGUACAGGAUGGACCCGCGUCUGAUUAGUUAGUUGGUAAGGUAACGGCUUACCAAGGCGACGAUCAGUAGCCGACCUGAGAGGGUGAUCGGCCACAUUGGAACUGAGACACGGUCCAAACUCCUACGGGAGGCAGCAGUGGGGAAUAUUGCACAAUGGGCGAAAGCCUGAUGCAGCAACGCCGCGGGAGUGAUGAAGGCCUUCGGGUCGUAAAGCUCUGUCCUCAAGGAAGCUAAUGACGGGACUUGGGGGGGAAGACCCGGCUAACUACGUGCCAGCAGCCGCGGUAAUACGUAGGGGGCUAGCGUUAUCCGGAUUUACUGGGCGUAAAGGGUGCGUAGG